UACGGGGGGGGGCAAGCGUUGUUCGGAAUUACUGGGCGUAAAGGGCUCGUAGGCGGCCAACUAAGUCAGACGUGAAAUCCCUCGGCUUAACCGGGGAACUGCGUCUGAUACUGGAUGGCUUGAGGUUGGGAGAGGGAUGCGGAAUUCCAGGUGUAGCGGUGAAAUGCGUAGAUAUCUGGAGGAACACCGGUGGCGAAGGCGGCGCUCUGGACCGAGACUGACGCUGAGGCGCGAAAGCGUGGGGAGCAAACAGG
rnacentral:rRNA from 1 species